rnacentral:rRNA from 1 species
GACGAACGCUGGCGGCGGGCUUAACACAUGCAAGUCGAACGGAAAGGCCCUGCUUUUGUGGGGUGCUCGAGGGGCGAACGGGUGAGUAACACGUGAGUAACCUGCCCUUGACUUUGGGAUAACUUCAGGAAGCUGGGGCUAAUAUCGGAUAGGAGCCCCCGCUGCAGGGUGGGGGGUGGAAAGUUUCGGCGGUUGGGGAUGGAUGCGCGGCUGAUCAGCUUGUUGGUGGGGGAGUGGCAGACCAAGGCUGUGACGGGUAGCCGGCCUGAGAGGGUGACCGGCCACAUUGUGCCUCGGGUGCGGCCCGGACGCAUGCGGGGGCCAGCAGUGGGGACCAUUGCCCACCGGGCGGAGGCCUGAUGCAGGAACGCCGCGUGCGGGAGGCCGGCUUUCGGGUGGUAAAACGAUUUCGCCUGUGACGAGGCGUGAGUGACGGUACUGGAUAAAGAGGCACCGCCUACCUCCGU